rnacentral:rRNA from 1 species
UCGCCUGUUUAUCAAAAACAUGUCCUCUUGAAUUUAAUAAUUUGAGGUCUGACCUGCCCACUGAGUUUAACUUAAAGGGCCGCGGUAUUUUGACCGUGCAAAGGUAGCAUAAUCAUUAGUCUUUUAAUUGAAGGCUAGAAUGAAUGGUUGGACGAGGUACUGACUGUCUCAGUAUAAUUGUUAUUAGAAUUUAACUUUUAAGUGAAAAGGCUUAAAUUUAAUUGGAGGACGAGAAGACCCUAUAGAGCUUUAUAUUUAUUUAUAGAAUAAUUUGUUUAGUUUAAUUUUUAUUAUUUUGUAGUAAUUAUUUUGUUGGGGUGACAGGAAGAUACAAUAAACUCUUUUUAAUUUUAAAACAUUAAUAUAUGAUUUGUUGAUCCAUUAAUAAUGAUUAAAAGACUAAGUUACCUUAGGGAUAACAGCGUAAUCUUUUUCGAGAGUUCUUAUCGACAAAAAGGGUUGCGACCUCGAUGUUGGAUUAAGAUUAAUUUUGGGUGUAGAUGUUCAAAGUUUAGGUCUGUUCGACCUUUAAAAUCUUACAUGAUCUGAGUUCAAACCGGAGA